AAUCAACGCUGGCGGCGUGCCUAGCACAUGCAAGUCGAACGCGAGAGGGGCUUCGGCCCUGAUUGAGUGGCAAACGGGUGAGUAACGCGUGGGUGACCUACCUUCGAGUGGGGGAUAACGUUCCGAAGGGACGCUAAUACCGCAUAACAUCCUGUCUUUGGACAGAUGGAGAUCAAAGCCGGGGAUCGUAAGACCUGGCGCUUGAGGAGGGGCCCGCGUCCGAUUAGCUAGNGGUGGGGUAAUGGCUCACCAAGGCAACGAUCGGUAGCCGGCCUGAGAGGGCGGACGGCCACACUGGGACUGAGACACGGCCCAGACUCCUACGGGAGGCAGCAGUGGGGAAUUGUUCGCAAUGGGCGCAAGCCUGACGACGCAACGCCGCGUGAAGGAUGAAGGUCUUCGGAUUGUAAACCUCUGUUGA
rnacentral:rRNA from 1 species